GAUGAACGCUGGCGGCGUGCCUAAUACAUGCAAGUCGAGCGAACAGACGAGGAGCUUGCUCCUCUGACGUUAGCGGCGGACGGGUGAGUAACACGUGGAUAACCUACCUAUAAGACUGGGAUAACUUCGGGAAACCGGAGCUAAUACCGGAUAAUAUAUUGAACCGCAUGGUUCAAUAGUGAAAGACGGUUUUGCUGUCACUUAUAGAUGGAUCCGCGCCGCAUUAGCUAGUUGGUAAGGUAACGGCUUACCAAGGCGACGAUGCGUAGCCGACCUGAGAGGGUGAUCGGCCACACUGGAGCUGAGACACGGUCCAGACUCCUACGGGAGGCAGCAGUAGGGAAUCUUCCGCAAUGGGCGAAAGCCUGACGGAGCAACGCCGCGUGAGUGAUGAAGGUCUUCGGAUCGUAAAACUCUGUUAUUGGGGAAGAACAAAUGUGUAAGUAACUAUGCACGUCUUGACGGUACCUAAUCAGAAAGCCACGGCUAACUACGU
rnacentral:rRNA from 1 species